rnacentral:rRNA from 1 species
AUACGUAGGGGGCGAGCGUUGUCCGGAAUGAUUGGGCGUAAAGGGCGCGUAGGCGGCGCGGUAAGUCUGGAGUGAAAGUCCUGCUUUCAAGGUGGGAAUUGCUUUGGAUACUGCCGCGCUUGAGUGCAGGAGAGGUUAUCGGAAUUCCCGGUGUAGCGGUGAAAUGCGUAGAGAUCGGGAGGAACACCGGUGGCGAAGGCGGCUUACUGGGCUUUUACUGACGCUGAGGCUCGAAAGCGUGGGGAGCAAACAGGAUUAGAUACCCUGGUAGUCCACGCUGUAAACGAUGAAUACUAGGUGUGGGGGGACUGACCCCCUCCGUGCCGCAGUUAACACAAUAAGUAUUCCACCUGGGGAGUACGGCCGCAAGGUUGAAACUCAAAUGAAUUGGCGGGA